AUGAGCGGCAUGUCGAGCGCCGGCACGUCCGGCGACGGCUCCGGCAGCAGCUCCUCCUUGGGGAUCACCAUCGGGUGGUCCAGGUGCUUCACGUCCUCCAGGCUGCACGCCGCCGUGGCCUCCACGAACCACACGCCCUCGCCGGUGCACGCCACCCUCACCUCGCCGCCCUCCUCCUCCGGCUCCAGGAACCGCCCGGCGAACGGGUAG
rnacentral:rRNA from 1 species